ensembl:lncRNA
GCCUAUCCAAUUAAGUUAAAUGUCAUGUUUUUAGUUGUUAGAAUCAAAUCACAAAACAACAAUCCAAAGGGGAGGACACGGGGCCGCAGCAUAUGUGCCCCACCAUCUUAACAUUUCACUCGGAUCAGCCACAGGAAAAAGCUAAAUUCUUGGCAAAAACUUAAAUCCUACGGUGGCCCUGAGAGGCCAAACGGACUGCAACUUCAGAAAACACUUGCAAAAAGAAAAAUGCUUGAAAAAAGAAAAACGCUGCAAAAAGAAAAACGCUGCAAAAGCACACAAGACACAACGGAAAUGUUUCUGGGGAGACAAUAACCCGACGGACCAGUUGCACGAACCAAAACAUGCUAACAAGUGUACUGGGACUGGGAGACACUUCAAAGAAGUGGAACCGGGGCGGCCAAAGAGUAAACUUUCUCUUACUUAUCACACAUUUGAUUUCCAUGUGUGACAACUGCAAGUGUCCAGAGUGAGGACAGACUGAGGGACCCACUGCUGCACAUCAUCUGUGAGGCUUUGCACCCCUGAUGAUCCACCAGGACAAACUCAGCAGAGUGUGAGGAAGAGGAGGAGGAAGAGCCAGCAGCAGCUGACAGAUGGAGAGAAUAGACAGACUGUUCCCUGUUUGUGAAGGACUGCUAGGAAAGUUUAACAUAACUAAUUGUCUGUCCUGAAUCAGUCUUAUUAGGUAAUGUUCAAAUAAUUUGAUCAUUCCAGUGUUUUCAGUGUGGGAGAAAGUACUCAGGGCCUUCAAGUUACACACUAUGAAAGGCAGCAACAAGUUUAAUAUUCAGAAACCUAAAGUAUGUAUCAGCAGCAGAAUGGAGCUAAAAAUAAAUGUUUGUUUCAGUUCUAUGAAGCUUUGAGUAUUUUGGAUUAGUAGUACUGCUGUGUUUGUUGCAUCAUAUUGCUGUAAUUGUUUAUAUGCUUUAUAUAUUCUGAGGUAAGUUGAUCUAUAGUGUUACAUCAUAUUCUAUAAGGAUGUUAUGUGUUUGUAUACUUUCUGCCCAGUUU